AUUCCCGUUGAUCCUGCGGGAGGUUGCUGCUAUUGGGAUCCGAUUAAGCCAUGCAAGUCUUCUCGCAAGAGAGGCAAACUGCUCAGUAACACGUCGAUAAUCUGCCCUUAGGUCUGGAAUAACCUCGGGAAACUGAGGAUAAUGCCGGAUAGGGAAAUCCAACUGGAAGGUGGAUUUCUUCAAACGCAAGGCCUAAGGAUGAGUCGGCGGCGGAUUAGGUUGUUGGUGAGGUAACGGCCCACCAAGCCGAAGAUCCGUAGGGGCCUUGAGAGAGGUAGCCCCGAGAAGGGCACUGAGAUACUGGCCCUAGCCCCACGGGGUGCAGCAGGCGCGAAACCUUUACAAUGCACGCAAGUGUGAUAAGGGGAUCCCAAGUGCUUUGCUUUUAGCAAGGCUUUUGCUAUACGUAAAUAGUAUAGCGAAUAAGUGGUGGGCAAUACCUGUGCCAGCCGCCGCGGUAACCCAGGAGCCACAAGUGGCAACCACCUUUAUUGGGCCUAAAGCGUCCGUAGCCGGAAAUCGUUGGGCUUAACCUAACGGCAUGCAGAAAAGACUGUUAAACUAGGGAUUGGGAGGAGUCAGAGGUAUUUCUGGGGGAGCGGUAAAAUGCUAUAAUCCCAGAAGGACCCCCUGUGGCGAAGGCGUCUGACUAGAACGAAUCCGACGGUGAGGGACGAAAGCUAGGGGAGCAAUCCGGAUUAGAUAUUGGGAUUUUCGAAUUGAAGAUAAGAGUUUCACUGAUUGCAAUAAUACUACUGGUGAAAUUCAAAGAAUACCAAAAAUUCCGACUAAUUACCCGAGUAGUCCUGGCUGUAAACGCUGCGAGCUAGGUGUUGCACAUUCUUCGGGAAUGUGCAGUGUCGUAGUGAAGAUGUUAAGCUCGCCGCCUGGGAAGUAUGGUCGCAAGACUGAAACUUAAAGGAAUUGGCGGGGGAGCACUACAAGGGGUGCGGCGUGCGGUUUAAUCUAAUUCAACGCCGAGAGGUAGUGCAUGGCCGUCGUCAGCUCGUGCCGUAAGGUGUCCUGUUAAGUCAGGCAACGAGCGAGACCUGCACCUACAAUUGCUAAUAGGUUCUUUGAACGACUGAGCACAUUGUAGGAACUGCCUCUGAAAAGAGGAGGAAGGCGCAGGCUACGGUAGGUCUGUAUGCUCCGAAUCUUCUGGGCUACACGCGCGCAACAAUGGCAGAGAUAAUGGGAUGCAACUCCGAAAGGAGAAGCCAAUCCUCCAAACUCUGUCUUGGUCCAAAUCGAGGAUUGCAACUCAUCCUCGUGACGUUGGAAUCCCUAGUAAUCGGACUUUAUCAUAGUCCGGUGAAUAUGUCCCUGCUCCUUGCACACACCGCCCGUCAAACCACCCGAGCAGGGUUUAGAUGAGGCUUAAUUUUUAAUUAAGUCAAAUCUAAGCUCAGCGAGGAGGGUUAAGUCGUCACAAGGUAGCCGUAGGGGAACCUGCGGCUGGAUCACCUCCU
rnacentral:rRNA from 1 species